rnacentral:rRNA from 1 species
GACGAACGCUGGCGGCGUGCCUAACACAUGCAAGUCGAGCGGGGAAAGUUCUUCGGAACUUUUCUAGCGGCGGACGGGUGAGUAACGCGUGAGCAAUCUGUCCCAUACAGGGGGAUAACAACUGGAAACAGUUGCUAAUACCGCAUGAGACCACAAUGUCGCAUGGCAAAGGGGUCAAAGGAGCAAUCCGGUAUGGGGUGAGCUCGCGUCCGAUUAGAUAGUUGGUGAGGUAACGGCCCACCAAGUCAACGAUCGGUAGCCGACCUGAGAGGGUGAUCGGCCACAUUGGAACUGAGACGCGGUCCAA